AACGCUAGCUACAGGCUUAACACAUGCAAGUCGAGGGGUAGCAGGGUAGCAAUACCGCUGACGACCGGCGCACGGGUGAGUAACACGUAUCCAACCUUCCCAUAACUCGGGGAUAGCCUUUCGAAAGAAAGAUUAAUACCCGAUAGUACUUUUUCAAGGCAUCUUGAGAAAGUUAAAGAUUUAUUGGUUAUGGAUGGGGAUGCGUUCCAUUAGAUAGUUGGUGAGGUAACGGCUCACCAAGUCUUCGAUGGAUAGGGGUUCUGAGAGGAAGGUCCCCCACAUUGGUACUGAGACACGGACCAAACUCCUACGGGAGGCAGCAGUGAGGAAUAUUGGUCAAUGGGCGAGAGCCUGAACCAGCCAAGUAGCGUGAAGGAUGAAGGUCCUAUGGAUUGUAAACUUCUUUUAUAGUAGAAUAAAGUGAUCCACGUGUGGAUUUUUGUAUGUAUACUAUGAAUAAGGAUCGGCUAACUCCGUGCCAGCAGCCGCGGUAAUACGGAGGAUCCGAGCGUUAUCCGGAUUUAUUGGGUUUAAAGGGUGCGUAGGCGGAAUAAUAAGUCAGUUGUGAAAGUUUGCGGCUCAACCGUAAAAUUGCAGUUGAUACUGUUAUUCUUGAGUGUACAUAAGGUAGGCGGAAUUCGUGGUGUAGCGGUGAAAUGCUUAGAUAUCACGAAGAACUCCGAUUG
rnacentral:rRNA from 1 species